rnacentral:lncRNA from 1 species
GUCUUUAUAGAUUUGGAAAAAGCGUAUGAUAGGGUCCCAAGAGACAUUCUUUGGAGGAUUUUAGAGAAGAAAGGAGUACGAGUAGCAUAUAUCCAAGCUAUAAAGGAUAUGUAUGAAGGAGCAAAGACUGCCGUAAGAACUCAUGAAGGACAAAACCGAAAGCUUCCCCAUAACUGUAGGAUUACAUCAAGGCUCAUCCUUAAGUCCUUACCUUUUUGCGUUGGUAAUGGAUGAGUUAACAGGACAUAUUCAAGAUGAUAUUCCUUGGUGUAUGCUUUUCGCAGACGAUAUAGUGUUGAUAGAUGAAACUCAGGAAGGGGUAAAUGCAAAGCUUAACCUUUGGAGAGAAGUGUUGGAAUCAAAAGGUCUUCGCCUAAGCCGAUCAAAGACAGAAUAUAUGGAGUGCAAGUUCAGUGCAAAUGGAGGCCAAAACGAGUUAGGGGUGAGGAUCGGAGAUCAAGAAAUACCAAAAAGCGACCGUUUUCGUUACCUAGGAUCUAUCUUGCAAAAAGAACGGAGAAUUAGAUGGAGAUCUCAACCAUAGAAUACAAGCUGGAUGGAUGAAGUGGAAGAGUGCAUCCGGUGUGUUGUGUGACCGCCGUAUGCCAUUGAAGCUCAAGGGAAAAUUUUAUAGGACGGCAAUAAGGUCGGCGAUGCUGUAUGGCACAGAAUGUUGGGCGGUGAAACAUCAACACGUACACAAAAUGGGUGUAGCGGAGAUGAGGAUGCUUCGUUGGAUGUGUGGGCACACGAGAAAGGAUAAGAUUAAGAAUGAGGAUAUCCGGGGUAAAGUAGGAGUAGCCGAAAUUGAAGGAAAGAUGAGAGAAAAUCGGUUACGGUGGUUUGGACAUGUGCAAAGAAGGCCUACUGACGCUCCGAUUAGAAGAUGCGACUAUGGGACAGAGGUUCAGGGCCGAAGGGGUAGAGGAAGACCUAGGAAAAACUUUGGAAGAGACUCUAAGAAAAGACUUAGAGUACUUGGUACUUGGAUCUAACGGAGGACAUGACACAGGAUCGAGCACAAUGGCGUUCUAAGAUUCAUAUAGCCGAUCCCACUCGGUGACUUGGAUUUUCCAAGUCUCCAAUCGAGAAGUUUUCCUCACUCGGGAAAUUAAGGGAACACUACCCCAACCUACAUGCUCCACUCAGAAAGCUUCAACAUACAAGCUUCAACAAAAAGAAAAUUCAAAGAACUUAGCGAAGAAGGCUUUGGUGUAUUUAACACAAUACGUUGAAAUGAAGGAAAGCUUAUUUAUUGAUAUCCCCGAUCAGCUACAAAUAUGUACAUAUACAUGAGUCAAAAUAAACACACAAGACGGAGCCUUCACAAAGGUUGCUUAGGAGAAGUCUCAGCAGUCGGUAGAGCCCCAGAAAGAGAAGGCACCGGAGGGGGAUCAUUUGGAGCCUCAGUACUGGACAGAACCCUAGAAGGAGGAGGCAUCAGAGGUUGAUCAUUCGGAGCUUCAUUACGCGGUACAGCCCCAGAAGACGAAGGCAAUAAAUGCCUUUGGAACAAACCCACAAAUCUCUGAUGAUCAAGUAAAACCUGACCAUCAGUUUCAUCUGGUCAAGCUGGUCAAGCUUCCUCUUCAUGUUUGUAGCAUAGUCAUGUGCGAGCCGGUGCAACUGUUUAUUCUCAUGCUUGAGCCCUCUAAUCUCCUGUUUGAGACUCAUCACUUCAGCCGCCAAGGAUUCAACUUGGCGGGUUCGAGCAAAUAGGCGUUGGGCCAUAUUAGACACAGAACCUGCACACUGAACACUGAGAGCCAGCGAAUCCUUAACAGCUAACUCAUCAGACCGUUUGGAAAGUAGUCUGUUAUCUUUGGGAGUGAGAAGGUUCCUGGCCACCACCGCAGCGGACAUAUCAUUCUUCAUCACGGAAUCCCCAACGGUAAGAGGACCAGUAGGAGAGACGAAGGAUGGGCGCCAUAUGUUGUCUGGAGAAGGUGGGGCUGCCUCUUCAACAAGGUUCAAGUCAAAACGACGGUCGGAGGGGCCAGACAUUUUCAAAGGUGUUGAAGAUAGAAGAGGUCGGACAAAUCAAGAUCUUAGAAGUGCAAGAAUGAAGCUUCUACUGGUGGAGAUUCAAGUGUGCUUUGGAACUUAAUGUCAGCCUCUAUAAAAAUCUGCACUCGACGGAGCUUCGGAAAUCGAAGAGGCGCCUGCUCAGAAAUCGAAGAGGCGUUUGCUUUCUCAAAAGCUGGGCUGCUUAGAGAUCACGAGGGUUGAUCUCAGAAAUCGAAGAGGCGUUUGCUUUCUCAAAAGUUGGGCUGCUCAAAGACCACGAAGGCCGAUCUCAGAAAUCGAAGAGGCGCUCGCUUUCUCAAAAGCUGGGCUCCCCAGAGACCACGAGGGCCGAUCUCAGAAAUCGAAGAGGCACCUACUUUUCCAGCCUUGUCAGCACCCGUCACACGCACACUCAGCUUUGCAGAAAUUAUGGGCAUUCUGUCGAAGACUUCUGGGGAAGUAGAAAACACAUGAAUCUUACUGUUCAAUCACCCACUUCCCACACGCAACAAUAGCUCAUGGGUACCACAGAUAACUUUGCCAAAGUUCUCUGCCAAAGUUGAGCACGUGAAGCUUGCAGCUCCCACUACAUCGCUCUGACCAAGAAGGGUAAAAGAAUAGCAAAGAAACAGCACUAACAAAGUUUAGACCCAUAAAUUUUGAAGGUCUAGCUACCAUAUUAUUACCCACAAGGGUAAAGGAACAGUACCACUGCUGGAUAAUUGGAAAGUCCCUGUGUGUCAACCUCUGUGCUUCGUGGCAAGGUAGACUAGCAAACAUGCCCAACCUUUACUCACAUUCGAGAAAACACUCCCAAUAAGAUUGCUUGCUCCAAAAUCGAAGAGGCACCGUCCUCCGAAUCUCGAGAGCCAGACUCCCAACAUGACUACUUUCUUAAAAAUCAAAGAGAGGGUAAAGGAACAGUACCAUUGCUGGAUAAUUGGAAAGCCCCUGUGUGUCAACCUCUGUGCUUCGUGGCAAGGUAGACUAGCAAACAUGCCCAACCUUUACUCACAUUCGAGAAAACACUCCCAACAAGAUUGCUUGCUCCAAAAUCGAAGAGGCACCGCCCUCCGAAUCUCGAGAGCCAGACUCCCAACGUGAUUACUUUCUCAAAAAUCGAAGAGACACUGCUCCCCGAAUCUUCGAGAGCCAGACCCCCAGCAUGAUUGCUUUCUCAAAAAUCGAUGAGGCAUCGUUCUCCGAAUCAAUCGAAGAGGCGCUCGCUUUCUCAAAAGCUGGGCUGCUCAGAGACCACGAGGGCCGAUCUCAGAAAUCGAAGAGGCACCUACUUUUCUAGCCUUGUCAGCACCUGUCACACGCACUCAGCUUUGCAGAAAUUAUGGGAAUUCUGUCGAAGACUUCUGGUGAAGUAGAAAGCACAUGAAUCUUACUGUUCAAUCACCCACUUCCCACACGCAACAAUAGCUCAUGGGUACCACAGAUAACUUUGCCAAAGUUCUCUGCCAAAGUUGAGCACGUGAAGCUUGCAGCUCCCACUACAUCGCUCUAACCAAGAAAGGUAAAAGAAUAGCAAAGAAACAGCACUAACAAAGUUUAGACACAUAAAUUUUGAAGGUCUAGCUACCAUAUUAUUACCCACAAGGGUAAAGGAACAGUACCACUGCUGGAUAAUUGGAAAGUCCCUGUGUGUCAACCUCUGUGCUUCAAGGCAAUGUAGACUAGCAAACAUGCCCAACCUUUACUCACUUUCGAGAAAACACUCCCAACAAGAUUGCUUGCUCCAAAAUCGAAGAGGCACCGUCCUCCGAAUCUCGAGAGCCAGACUCCCAACAUGACUACUUUCUCAAAAGCGAAGAGAGGGUAAAGGAACAGUACCAUUGCUGGAUAAUUGGAAAGUCUCUGUGUGUCAACCUUUGUGCUUCGUGGCAAGGUAGACUAGCAAACAUGCCCAACCUUUACUCACAUUCGAGACAACACUCCCAACUGGAUUGCUUGCUCCAAAAUCGAAGAGGCACCGCUCUCCGAAUCUCGAGAGCCAGACUCCCAACAUGAUUACUUCCUCAAAAAUCGAAGAGACACUGCUCUACGAAUCUCGAGAGCCAGACCCCCAGCAUGAUUGCUUUCUCAAAAAUCGAAGAGGCAUCGUUCUCCGAAUCUCGAGAGCCAGAUACCACAGACCACUUUUUCAAAGUGCUCUGACAGAGUUAAAACAUGUGAAACUGGCAGCUCCCACUACCGUGCUAUGACCAAGCAGGGUAAAGGAAUAGCAUUACUACUUGUUGUUAGGGAGACUCCUAUAUAUGUCGACCUCCAUCCCCAACGGACAGGCAGACCUGCAAAAAUGCUCAACCCUUCAUCAUAUCUGAGAGGGCACUCCCAACGAAGCCUUUCGAAAUAUUCAGCUUUCUUUCCCCCCGAUAAUACCUCUGCAAACAAGCUAUACUAGAGCAAGAAUAUCUCAUAUCAUCAGGGUUAAAAGCAAGAGUAUCCCAUAUCAUGCUUUUUCCCUAUCUUUUCCUUUGGCCUUGUUUUUACCUGCAAGACAAGGAGAAAGAGAGCAAUCAGUCAGCACUUGGAUCAAGCUUCCAGCCAGGAACUGACUGCCUGGAACCCCUUACCUGAUUACUUACCUGGCAUUGCUCUCGAGUACUCAUCUUCAACAUCUUAUGUUUCCAGGGAAGAUUCCGCAUCUACUUGAGGAACAGAUAGGGCAAGUGCGAAGGAUACAAGGAAGCAUGUGGAGACAAGCGUAACAGCACACGUGCCGAUACACCCAUUACUCUGUCAAAAGCAAAAGUAUCCCAUAUCAGCAGGGUGGAACGUACUCUAGAUUUGAUGGACUUGUUUUGACCCUCAAAUUCUUCAGUCGGCCUUAUACUCUGGAGGAAACCAGAAAACCCUCCAGCUCAGUUCAAGAAUAAGCCUGUGGAAAGUUACUUCUUCAAAAGCAAAAGUAUCUCAUAUCAUCUCUUCUCAUUUUUCUUCUUUUUAUCCUUCAUGCUGCUGCAAGAUGGGGAGAAGGUGAACAAUCAGUCGGAGCUCUGAUUGCUUACCUUGUCUGUCACCUCUUUCAGCAGACCCCCUAGCUCGGCGACUUGGGAGACUCCUACUACAUGGUUUGUAUCGCGCUUGACCAAGCCUGAGACUACAAGUAAGCUUCAAGUGAAAUUGAUACAUUACCUUGUGCAUCUCCACCAGUUAAAGAUACCACCCCUGGAUGGAGGAAGAGUACUUCCAGAGAAGAUGCCACAUCUACCUAUGAGACAGAUAAGGCAAGUCAAGACGACACCACACUCCGAUACUUAGAAGUUUCGUGAUUACGAGAUCAUUCUCCCACAAUAUUUCCUAAUGUCAUUUGUACUAAAUCAUUCACUUGUACUCACUAAAGGAAAGCUUGAACCUAUGUACUUGUGUAAACCCUUCACAAUUAAUGAGAACUCUUCUAUUCCGUGGACGUAGCCAAUCUGGGUGAACCACGUACAUCUUGUGUUUGCUUUCCUAUCUCUAUCCAUUUUAUAUACUUAUCCACACUAAUGACCGGAGCAAUCUAGCGAAGAUCACAAAAAGCGACCGUUUUCGCUACCUAGGAUCUAUCUUGCAAGAGAACGGAGAAUUAGAUGGAGAUCUCAACCAUAGAAUACGAGCUGGAUGGAUGAAGUGUAAGAGUGCAUCUGGCGUGUUGUGUGACCGUCGUAGGCCACUGAAGCUCAAGGGAAAAUUUUAUAGGACGGCAAUAAGGCCAGCGAUGUUGUAUGGCACAGAAUGUUGGGCGGUGAAGCAUCAACACGUACACAAAAUGGGGUGUAGCGGAGAUGAGGAUGCUUCGUGGGAUGUGUGGGCACACGAGAAAGGAUAAGAUUGGGAAUGAGGAUAUCCGAGGUAAAGUAGGAGUAGCCGAAAUUGUAGGAAAGAUGAGAGAAAAUCGGCUCCGAUGAUUUGGACAUGUGCAAAGAAGGCCGACUG